rnacentral:lncRNA from 1 species
UGUACUUGAUGAAGAGAAUAUUCCUAUUGAGGAAGGUUUAGAAAUACAGCAAUGAAGAAAAGAAAUAAAUAGAUUAUUAGACUGUUGUAAUCAUUUGUGUCAUGAGAAAGAAAAAUAAACGAAAUGAAACCAUGCAUGAUGUUGAACACGCUCCGUCAACUUGUGGGGUCGAGAAGGAGUGAUGAGACCAGCUUUAUUCUUUUUUUUUUUUUUUUUUUUUUAAUAUAUAUUUAUUUAUAUCAACCCGAAAAUGGGAACUUUAGAUCCGGUUACAAGCCCAAAUCGAACAAAAGCUUCUAAGUCAAUGUAUUACAAAACUACCUUCGCCCACCCACUAAACCCGGCUCAAUCCGAUAGUUCGUUUUUAAAAUUCUUAGAAACCGUUUGCUGUUCUCUACCGUACACGAUGAUCAUAGGACUGUGAGGUUCUCCGCGUUGCCGCGGAUGCCGGGAACUCCCAUGUCGCUUCCGGAGUAGCUAGCUCCCGGUGAUCUCCUUGGAACUCAUAACUUUCACCAACAUUUAAGCUCAGACGCAUAUAGAAGAUAGGAUAUGGAGACCAUACCUUUUGAAAAUUGCUCCAUACCCUCU